rnacentral:rRNA from 1 species
AGAAUCAACGCUGGCGGCGUGCCUAACACAUGCAAGUCGAACGAGAAAGUGGAGCAAUCCAUGAGUACAGUGGCGUACGGGUGAGUAACACGUGACUAACCUACCCUCGAGUGGGGAAUAACCUCGGGAAACCGGGGCUAAUACCGCAUAAUAUCUUCGGAUCAAAUGCGUAAGCAGCUUGAGGAGGGGGUCGCGGCCGAUUAGCUAGUUGGCGGGGUAAUGGCCCACCAAGGCAAUGAUCGGUAGCCGGCCUGAGAGGGCGCACGGCCACACUGGAACUGAAACACGGUCCAGACUCCUACGGGAGGCAGCAGUGGGGAAUUUUGCGCAAUGGGGGAAACCCUGACGCAGCAACGCCGCGUGGAGGAUGAAGCCCCUUGGGGUGUAAACUCCUUUCGAUCGGGACGAUUAUGACGGUACCGGAUGAAGAAGCACCGGCUAACUCUGUGCCAGCAGCCGC